rnacentral:rRNA from 2 species
AGAGUUUGAUCAUGGCUCAGGAUGAACGCUGGCGGCGUGCUUAACACAUGCAAGUCGAACGAGCCUUCGGGCUAGUGGCGGACGGGUGAGUAACGCGUGGGAAUCUGCCCUCAGGAGGGGGAUAACGGCCGGAAACGGCCGCUAAUACCCCAUAUGCCGAGAGGUGAAAUGAAUUUCGCCUGAGGAUGAGCCCGCGUCUGAUUAGCUAGUUGGUGUGGUAAUGGCGCACCAAGGCGACGAUCAGUAGCUGGUCUGAGAGGAUGAUCAGCCACACUGGGACUGAGACACGGCCCAGACUCCUACGGGAGGCAGCAGUGGGGAAUUUUCCGCAAUGGGCGAAAGCCUGACGGAGCAACGCCGCGUGAGGGAUGAAGGCCUCUGGGCUGUAAACCUCUUUUCUCAAGGAAGAGGACAUGACGGUACUUGAGUAUAAGCACGCUAAUCCGUGCCAGCAGCCGCGGUAAUACGGGAGUGCAAAGCGUUAUCCGGGAAUUAUUGGGCGUAACGCGUCCGCAGGCGGCUUGUAAGUCUGUCGUUAAAGCGUGGAGCUUAACUCCAUUUGAGCGAUGGAAACUACAAGGCUUGAGUGUGGUAGGGGCAGAGGGAAUUCCCGGUGUAGCGGUGAAAUGCGUAGAUAUCGGGAAGAACACCAGUGGCGAAGGCGCUCUGCUGGGCCAUAACUGACGCUCAUGGACGAAAGCCAGGGGAGCGAAAGGGAUUAGAUACCCCUGUAGUCCUGGCCGUAAACGAUGAACACUAGGUGUCGGGGGAAUCGACCCCCUCGGUGUCGUAGCUAACGCGUUAAGUGUUCCGCCUGGGGAGUACGCACGCAAGUGUGAAACUCAAAGGAAUUGACGGGGGGCCGCACAAGCGGUGGGAGUAUUGGUUAAUUCCGAUGCAACGCGAAGAACCUUACCAGGGUUUGACAUCCUGCGAAUCCCUUGGAAACGAGGGAGUGCCUUCGGGAGCGCAGAGACAGGUGGUGCAUGGCUGUCGUCAGCUCGUGUCGUGAGAUGUUGGGUUAAGUCCCGCAACGAGCGCAACCCACGUCUUUAGUUGCCAGCAUUCAGUUGGGCACUCUAGAGAGACCGCCGGUGAUAAACCGGAGGAAGGUGUGGAUGACGUCAAGUCAUCAUGCCCCUUACAUCCUGGGCUACACACGUACUACAAUGCUACGGACAAAGGGUUGCAAGCUCGCGAGAGUUAGCUAAUCCCAUAAACCGUGGCUCAGUUCAGAUCGUAGGCUGCAACUCGCCUACGUGAAGGAGGAAUCGCUAGUAAUCGCAGGUCAGCAUACUGCGGUGAAUACGUUCCCGGGCCUUGUACACACCGCCCGUCACACCAUGGAAGUUGGCCAUGCCCGAAGUCGUUACUCCAACCCUUGUGGAGGAGGACGCCGAAGGUGGGGCUGAUGACUGGGGUGAAGUCGUAACAAGGUAACCGU